UAUAAAUUGAGGUGCCCAGGGGAGAAGCUGUGUACAAGGAAGUCUUUCUAUAAUUCUACCUUCGGUGCCUUGCGCCUCCUACAGCCCCACCGUGGGACUUCCACACAUAGACAGAAACACAUCCCCCAUCACCGCGCCGCCGACGUCGACGGCGGUGCCACGCUGCUGCCUCCUGCAUAUUACCCAAAGGCGCGUCAGAUGGACGCUGAUUCCGGUGAUUUUGGAAGUGGUAAUAAGCUACCAGAUGAUCUGACCUUGGAUGUCCUCUCUCGUCUUCCAUACAAGUCGUUCUGCCGGGCUAAAUGUACCUGCACAGGGUGGCUUUCUUUCUCCUCUAAUCCACAUUACUGCGACAAGCUUCCCAAACCCCUUACUGGUUUUCUCUACCAAAAAAGUGAUAGCUCUGCCAUUGAGGUUGCUAGCCUCUGCCCAGAUGAUAGAUCAUUUGAUACUUCUCUUAGUUUCUUGCCACGUUAUGAGUGGCUAGAACUAACGGAUUCUUGCAAUGGACUGGUUCUAUGCAAAUAUGGGCGCAAUACUUCUUCUCCAUCCGUUGCGAACUUUGUGGUGUGCAACCCAGCAACACGUCAGUGGAUGGAGUUACCUGAAACUCUUCUGGAACCAGAAGGUCACAGUUAUGCAACCAAAUUAGCUUUCGAUCCAUCAUGGUCCCCGUACUUCUAUGUCUUCAACUUUGAAGAGAAACGUAACCCAGUGGAAAGAUGGGCUUGUAUAUCUAAAGUUGCGAUAUUUUCAUCAAGAAAUUCCACGUGGUUUAUGGAUGAUAAGUGGGAACCUUCGAAUCAGAUUAGUGUCGAUUGUCAGCCACACGUCCUUCUUGGUGGAAAGCUGUUUCUUCAGACAUCAAGUUGUCGAGUCUUGGUAAUCGAUGCAUUUCACAAUACAGAGCAGCCAUCUCAUUGGAUAUUUGAUCUACCAGGGUAUAAGCCCACCUCCCCCAUGGUUGAUUGUCUCACUGGGUAUCUUGGACAUAAAUCAGGGGUGCUACACUAUGUGCAGCCCGACACCGGUGGUCGCACGCUUCUAGUCUGGGCUCGAGAUGGCUAUCCUCACGGUGACUGGAAUUUGAAGCACCGUCUCAGCAUGAGCGAUGCAUUUGGGCAGGAUAUCUUUCUUGAUGAGCAUUUUGAUGGAUUCUUGUCUUGUCAUUACGACAUUCAAUCUCUUGACUUGGAGAGAGGGCUUGUUUUCCUUUGUCAUUUCGCAGCAGAAAGACUCCUGUCCUAUAGCUUGAGCACAGGGAAGCUGACGAAAAUCCGAGAUGGUCUCAGGCGAUACCUGUACUAUGUGCCGAACUGCUCAAUGUUCCCAGCCAAAGAAACCGAGAAAGAUCAAGAUGUAUCAGAGCCAUAAUUACCAUCCCUUAUUUGAUGGAGCCCCGAACACCCUUAUGUAGUAGUUUGCAAUAAUACUAAAUAAUUUUGUUGGUGAAGUUUUAUAUGUAAUCUCAUAUAUGGUAUAUGAUAGUAGAACUAUGUGUGUGAAAGUCGUCUGUUGUGGACAGAUGCUAGCCUUGUUGGUUUCAGCGUUUCAUGAUGUAAUAAAAGUACCUCCUGUUCUAAGUGCUCCAUGUUAUUUUUGUCUCGUUAAAAUUUUUCAUCUGUUGUAUUUGAUACAUUUUUCCAGGUAGGGUGAAAUAAACAGCUGAA
rnacentral:lncRNA from 3 species